rnacentral:autocatalytically_spliced_intron from 1 species
AGGAGCCCGGUGCCCGAAUUGGGCACGCCGGGAUCUGUGCGGGGGGGCUCAGUAAUGGGCAUCCCUACCGCAAU